UAGCUGAGUGCUUAAGGCAUUGGGCUUGAAAUCCAGUGGGGUUUCCCUGUGCAGGUUUGAAUCCUGU
rnacentral:tRNA from 1 species